GUGUACUACUGUUACUCCGUGGGGUGUGUGUGUCUGUGGUCAGUGUGCUACUGUUACUCCGUGGGGUGUGCGUGUCUGUGGUCAGUGUGCUACUGUUACUCCAUGGGGUGUGAUGUGUCUGUGAUAAGUGUGUGCUACUCUUACUCCGUGGGGUGUGGCAUCUGUGGUGAGUGUGUGCUAGCAUUACUCCUACUGGAAUCUGCUUUUACAUCAGAACCUACAAUGCUCGCCAUCUUACAAAUCAUUUCCUAACUUUUGCCGUUUUUGUUUUUAUCUUAGCUUAUGAAUGCCAAUAUUAAAGAUGAUGGAAAUUGCAUUACUGCUUACAUAUAAAAAAAACAUUUAACACAGCCAUAAAGAACAUAUAAAAUUGAUUGUGACACUGAUUAAAAAGGACAUCUAACUCUUCAGGACCAUUUGUCCCAUAUGAAGGAAAAAUAAAGUUUAUUAUUUUAUUA